GAUGAACUCUGGCGGCGUGCUUAACACAUGCAAGUCGAACGAAGCACUUUAAUUGAUUUCUUCGGAAUGAAGUUUUUGUGACUGAGUGGCGGACGGGUGAGUAACGCGUGGGUAACCUGCCUCAUACGGGGGGAUAACAGUUGGAAACGACUGCUAAUACCGCAUAAGCGCACGGGAUUGCAUGAUCCAGUGUGAAAAACUCCGGUGGUAUGAGGUGGACCCGCGUCUGAUUAGCCAGUUGGCGGGGUAACGGCCCACCAAAGCGACGAUCAGUAGCCGACCUGAGAGGGUGACCGGCCACAUUGGGACUGAGACACGGCCCAAACUCCUACGGGAGGCAGCAGUGGGGAAUAUUGCACAAUGGGGGAAACCCUGAUGCAGCGACGCCGCGUGAGCGAAGAAGUAUUUCGGUAUGUAAGGCUCUAUCAGCAGGGAAGAAGAAUGACGGUACCUGACUAAGAAGCACCGGCUAAAUACGUGCCAGCAGCCGCGGUAAUACGUAUGGUGCAAGCGUUAUCCGGAUUUACUGGGUGUAAAGGGAGCGCAGGCGGUACGGCAAGUCUGAUGUGAAAUCCCGGUGCUCAACCCCGGUACUGCAUUGGAAACUGUCGGACUAGAGUGUCGGAGGGGUAAGUGGAAUUCCUAGUGUAGCGGUGAAAUGCGUAGAUAUUAGGAGGAACACCAGUGGCGAAGGCGGCUUACUGGACGAUUACUGACGCUGAGGCUCGAAAGCGUGGGGAGCAAACAGGAUUAGAUACCCUGGUAGUCCACGCCGUAAACG
rnacentral:rRNA from 1 species